rnacentral:lncRNA from 1 species
CGUUUAUCUAGAUCCGAAACUAACACAAAUUAUGUUAUCACUUAAAUUUCCCUGAGAAACAUAUAAUGCAUAUAUCCAUUAAUCACACUAACAUAAUAUAAUUGAUGCAUACCUUUGUUUAUAGACACAACUUUGUAGUAGACAUUCUUGUCGAUGUGUACAAACAACAUCUUGUUCUUAGGAAAAUCCAAUACUGCAAUCACUAUGGCCAGAAACGCUCUCCCCAAAAAUCAAAGUUCUAUCAAAACUAUUGCCUAUCUC